AGGUAAAAAAAAUGAAUGAGCUGCUCGUGAGGGAUGCCCCCACUCUGACUGGGUGAGCAGUACUUUGGUUCAGGCAUCACUGACAAGGAGGCCUGGCUGAAAUCAGCCCUGCUGUGCAAAC